GAUGAACGCUGGCGGCGUGCUUAACACAUGCAAGUCGAGCGAUGAAGUUUCCUUCGGGAAACGGAUUAGCGGCGGACGGGUGAGUAACACGUGGGUAACCUGCCUUAUAGAGUGGAAUAGCCUUCCGAAAGGAAGAUUAAUACCGCAUAACGUUGAAAGAUGGCAUCAUCAUUUAACCAAAGGAGCAAUCCGCUAUGAGAUGGACCCGCGGCCGCAUUAGCUAGUUCGGUGGGGUAACGGCCUACCAAGGCAACGAUGCGUUAGCCGACCUGAGAGGGUGAUCGGCCACAAUUGGGACUGAGACACGGCCCAG
rnacentral:rRNA from 1 species